GACGAACGCUGGCGGCAUGCCUAACACAUGCAAGUCGAACGGAGAUUAUUUCGGUAAUCUUAGUGGCGAACGGGUGAGUAACGCGUGGGCAACCUGCCCUCUAGAUGGGGACAACAUCCCGAAAGGGGUGCUAAUACCGAAUGUGACAGCAAUCUCGCAUGAGGAUGCUGUGAAAGAUGGCCUCUAUUUAUAAGCUAUCGCUAGAGGAUGGGCCUGCGUCUGAUUAGCUAGUUGGUGGGGUAACGGCCUACCAAGGCGAUGAUCAGUAGCCGGUCUGAGAGGAUGAACGGCCACAUUGGGACUGGGACACGGCCCAGACUCCUACGGGAGGCAGCAGUGGGGAAUCUUCCGCAAUGGGCGAAAGCCUGACGGAGCAAUGCCGCGUGAGUGAUGAAGGAAUUCGUUCCGUAAAGCUCUUUUGUUUAUGACGAAUGUGCAGAUUGUGAACAAUGAUCUGUAAUGACGGUAGUAAACGAAUAAGCCACGGCUAACUACGUG
rnacentral:rRNA from 1 species